GAUGAACGCUGGCGGCGUGCCUAAUACAUGCAAGUCGAGCGAACUGAUUAGAAGCUUGCUUCUAUGACGUUAGCGGCGGACGGGUGAGUAACACGUGGGCAACCUGCCUGUAAGACUGGGAUAACUUCGGGAAACCGAAGCUAAUACCGGAUAGGAUCUUCUCCUUCAUGGGAGAUGACUGAAAGAUGGUUUCGGCUAUCACUUACAGAUGGGCCCGCGGUGCAUUAGCUAGUUGGUGAGGUAACGGCCCACCAAGGCAACGAUGCAUAGCCGACCUGAGAGGGGGAUCGGCCACACUGGGACUGAGACACGGCCCAGACUCCUACGGGAGGCAGCAGUAGGGAAGCUUCCGCAAUGGACGAAAGUCUGACGGAGCAACGCCGCGUGAGUGAUGAAGGCUUUCGGGUCGUAAAACUCUGUUGUUAGGGAAGAACAAGUACAAGAGUAACUGCUUGUACCUUGACGGUACCUAACCAGAAAGCCACGGCUAACUACGUGCCAGCCGCCGCUGUAA
rnacentral:rRNA from 1 species